rnacentral:rRNA from 1 species
UACCAGCACCCCGAGUGGUCGGGACGUUUAUUGGGCCUAAAGCAUCCGUAGCCGGUUCUACAAGUCUUCCGUUAAAUCCACCUGCUUAACAGAUGGGCUGCGGAAGAUACUAUAGAGCUAGGAGGCGGGAGAGGCAAGCGGUACUCGAUGGGUAGGGGUAAAAUCCGUUGAUCCAUUGAAGACCACCAGUGGCGAAGGCGGCUUGCCAGAACGCGCUCGGACGGUGAGGGAUGAAAGCUGGGGGAGCCAAACCGGGAUUAAG